CCCUACUUAGAAACAGGAGAAGAAUGACAAGAGAUACUUCAGGGAAUGGACUAAGAACAACAUGGGAAAUCUGCUGAUUUGUGCUUCAUCUAAUGGCAAUAUAAUGUUUGGAUCAUACCCCAAGCCUCCAUGAAAGCCAAUCCCAAUAUAUGAAACCUCCAACAGAGAAUGUAGUCCUGAUCAUAACUGCAAAAUCUGACAACAACCAAAUGUUCAUCGACAAUAGAAUGGAUAAAUACAUGUGGUAUAAUCACACAGUGGAAUCUUAUUCAGCAGCGAAAAUGGGCACACUACAGCUGCAACAUGAUGAAUCUCAAGCAUAAUAUUAAGUGAAAGAAACAAGUCAUGAACAUAUUUACAAUAUUAUCCCAUCUAUAUGAAGUCCCAAAGUAGAGGCUGGUACAAUUCAUUAGGCUACAGACACAGAUGGAGAAGCAAGUGUUGGAGAAAAGAGCUGAGGGCAAAUCUGAACCCCAAGAUGAAUCCAGGGAGAACACCACAUGAAGACAAAGCAGAGAUCAGGAAUGCCAAAGAUUGCCAGCAAGCCACCAGAAACCCUCAGAAAGAGCCAACUCUGAUGACACCUGGAUCUUGGACUUUUGUCCUCCAGUACUGUGAGCCAAUAGAUUUCUACUGUUUAAGCCACUCAGUUCAAGGUACUUCAUUACAACAGCUCUAGGAAACUCACAUACUUCGAGAGAUAGAAGGUAAUGUCUCUCCAGACUAGAGGAAAGAAGGGGAAAUUGGGUUAUGGAAAAUAAAGGAAGCAAUCCCUAUCAAAAUAAUACCAGCAUUCU